rnacentral:lncRNA from 9 species
AUCAUCUCCCUGCUUUCCCGUCCAAGCAGAACCGCUCUGCUUUUCUGUUUCAUAUUUUGGAUAUUUAAGAUUUCAUUUGGAAAAGAAUUUUCACGGCUUCAAAACCAAUUUAGCCUUGUCUUCCCCGGUGGUCUCGUGGGUAGGACUGAGCGCGUUCAUGGCUGCAGCCCGGGUUCCAUUCCCCGUCUAGGAACUCAGAUCCCACAUCAAGACGCAGCAGGGUGCAGCCAAAAAAAAAAAGACAAAAACAAUCUAGCAUCGGCUGAUGUCUUAGGGAGGAAGAGCAGAGGAUGAGACGUGGAGUAUGGAAGAUCUGCCUUUGAGACCGAGAACCACGUGUUCCCAGAAAUAGGACAUGGAGACGUAUGGGAACCAGCGCUGCCUGUGGUCCUGAGUGCCACCAGCCUGCCUCGUGGCCACCCCAGGCUGAAAAGGACCAGGGUCUGACCUCCACGUCAUGGGAAAAUGAAAGCCGGAUGCCAGGUUGUGGUGUGGCUCUAACAGGAAGCAGGUGGCCCUUUUGUUGUGCACCUGUGUUCUUUGCUGUCACCAAGGUGGGCCCAGAGCGCCUUCGGAAUACGGCAGAGAUACUGUAACGCCACCUGCCAGGGCUGUGACUCGAACCAGGCAAGUGAGGUAAGCACCUCAAAGGACAAAUUUUAAAGAGUGCCCCAAAUGCAGUAAUCAAGAGAAAUUAGCAUUUAAUAUAAUGCUUUUUUAAAAAUAAAAGCGAAUGCACAAAAAUCCAGGUUGAACAAAACCCCUACGUUUUAAAUGAAGAAUCUGGUCCUGCGCCCUGAUAUUAGAAGAGUGAAAUUUCUAUGCAGAUUUCUGAUAACAACCAGCAUCUGGGGAAACACCUUGCUGGGGAACUACGAUCAUGGACUCUUAUUUUAGGAUAAAAGUUGACAAGCCCAGGGGUAAGUUCUGAAAUUCUGAAAAUCGAAUUCCGCCCUCCUGGCUUUCGAGGUUACAGGAUCAGAAGCCUGAGCAUUCCUAGCUGAGUCUGUUUUCCAGUUCUGGAC